GAUGAACGCUGGCGGCGUGCCUAAUACAUGCAAGUCGAGCGAAUGGAUUAGGAGCUUGCUCUUAUGAAGUUAGCGGCGGACGGGUGAGUAACACGUGGGUAACCUGCCCAUAAGACUGGGAUAACUCCGGGAAACCGGGGCUAAUACCGGAUAACAUUUUGAACCGCAUGGUUCGAAAUGGAAAGGCGGCUUCGGCUGUCACUUAUGGAUGGACCCGCGUCGCAUUAGCUAGUUGGUGAGGUAACGGCUCACCAAGGCAACGAUGCGUAGCCGACCUGAGAGGGUGAACGGCCACACUGGGACUGAGACACGGCCCGGACUCCUACGGGAGGCAGCAGUAGGGAAUCUUCCGCAGUGGACGAAAGUCUGACGGAGCAACGCCGCGUGAGUGAUGAAGGCUUUCGGGUCGUAAAGCUCUGUUGUUAGGGAAGAACAAGUGCUAGUUGAAUAAGCUGGCACCUUGACGGUACCUAACCAGAAAGCCACGGCUAACUACGUGCCAGCCGCCGCGGUAA
rnacentral:rRNA from 1 species